GCAUAUCAAUAAGCGCAGGAAAAGAAACCAACAGGGAUUGCCUCAGUAACGGCGAGUGAAGCGGCAACAGCUCAAAUUUGAAAUCUGGCCUCUUGGGGUCCGAGUUGUAAUUUGUAGAGGAUGUUUCGGGUACCGCCUCGGUUUAAAUUUCUUGGAACAGAAUGUCAAAGAGGGUGAGAAUCCCGUCUUGGACCGGCGGUAGGGCCUAUGUGAAACUCCUUCGACGAGUCGAGUUGUUUGGGAAUGCAGCUCAAAAUGGGUGGUAAAUUUCAUCUAAAGCUAAAUAUUGGCCAGAGACCGAUAGCGCACAAGUAGAGUGAUCGAAAGAUGAAAAGCACUUUGAAAAGAGAGUUAAACAGUAUGUGAAAUUGUUGAAAGGGAAGCGCUUGCAACCAGACUUGAGCGCGGCGGUUCCCCCUUGCUUCUGCUUGGGUUACUCCGCCGUGUCCAGGCCAACAUCGGUUCUGGGGGUCGGUCAAAGGCUCUGGGAAUGUAUCUACCCACGGGUAGACUUAUAGACCAGGGUGUCAUGCGACCUCCCGGGACCGAGGAACGCGCUUCGGCUCGGAUGUUGGCGUAAUGGUUGUCAGCGACCCGUCUUGAAACACGGACCAAGGAGUCUAACAUCUAUGCGAGUGUUUGGGUGUCAAACCCGGAACGCGGAAUGAAAGUGAACGGAGGUAGGAAGCUUCGGCUGCACUAUCGACCGAUCCUGAAGUUUACGGAUGGAUUUGAGUAAGAGCAUAGCUGUUGGGACCCGAAAGAUGGUGAACUAUGCCUGAAUAGGGUGAAGCCAGAGGAAACUCUGGUGGAGGCUCGCAGCGGUUCUGACGUGCAAAUCGAUCGUCAAAUUUGGGUAUAGGGGCGAAAGACUAAUCGAACCAUCUGGUAGCUGG
rnacentral:rRNA from 1 species